CCUGUUGUAGCUCAGAGGACAGAGCAGCGAGCCUCUAACUCGACUGUCGCUGGUUCGAAUCCAGCCAGCAGGA
rnacentral:tRNA from 1 species